GGGGCUGUGGCUCAGAGGCAGAGCGCUCACCUAGCAAGUGUGAGGCCCUGGGUGCAAUCCUCAGCACCACA
rnacentral:tRNA from 1 species